CCUACUGGAGGCAGCAGUGGGGCAUAUUGGGCAAUGGGCGCAAGCCUGACCCAGCAACGCCGCGUGAAGGAAGAAGGCUUUCGGGUUGUAAACUUCUUUUCUCAGGGACGAAGCAAGUGACGGUACCUGAGGAAUAAGCCACGGCUAACUACGUGCAAGCAGCCGCGGUAAUACGUAGGUGGCAAGCGUUAUCCGGAUUUACUGGGUGUAAAGGGCGUGUAGGCGGGAAAGCAAGUCAGAUGUGAAUACUAUGGGCUCAACCAGUAGACUGCAUUUGAAACUGGUUUUCUUGAGUACUGGGGAGGUAGACGGAAUUCCUGGUGUAGCGGUGAAAUGCGUAGAUAUUAGGAGGAACACCAGUGGCGAAGGCGGUCUGCUGGACAGCAACUGACGCUGAGGCGCGAAAGCGUGGGGAGCAAACAGGAUUAGAUACCCCAGUAGUC
rnacentral:rRNA from 1 species